GGGAGUUUGGCCGAGUGGUUAAGGCGUUGUGUUUAGGUCUUCUUCUAUGUUCUCUUUGAGAAGGACAUCUGAACCCCGACCCGCAAUGGGAAACCGCGCAGGUUCGAAUCCUGCAGCUCUCA